CAGCCGCCGCGGGAAUACGUAGGUCCCGAGCGUUGUCCGGAUUUAUUGGGCGUAAAGGGAGCGCAGGCGGUUUAGUAAGUCUGAAGUUAAAGGCUGUGGCUUAACCAUAGUACGCUUUGGAAACUGUUUAACUUGAGUGCAAGAGGGGAGAGUGGAAUUCCAUGUGUAGCGGUGAAAUGCGUAGAUAUAUGGAGGAACACCGGUGGCGAAAGCGGCUCUCUGGCUUGUAACUGAUGCUGAGGCUCGAAAGCGUGGGGAGCAAACAGGAUUAGAUACCCCAGUAGUCCCUGUCUCUUAUACA
rnacentral:rRNA from 1 species